GACGAACGCUGGCGGUAUGCCUAAUACGUGCAAGUCGAACGCUGAAGCACUCUGCUUGCAGAGUGUGGAUGAGUGGCGAACGGGUGAGUAACACGUGGGGAACCUGCCCAUAAGAGGGGGAUAACAUCCGGAACCGGGUGCUAAUACCGCAUAGGUGAUCAUAGCGCAUGCUUAGAUCAUUAAAGAUGGCUUCGGCUAUCGCUUAUGGAUGGCCCCGCGGCGUAUUAGCUAGUUGGUGAGGUAAUGGCUCACCAAGGCUGUGAUACGUAGCCGACCUGAGAGGGUGAUCGGCCACACUGGAACUGAGACACGGUCCAGACUCCUACGGGAGGCAGCAGUAGGGAAUCUUCCACAAUGGGCGAAAGCCUGAUGGAGCAAUACCGCGUGAGUGAAGAAGGUCUUCGGAUCGUAAAGCUCUGUUGUUAGAGAAGAACAAGAGGUGUAGUAACUGGCACCUCCUUGACGGUAUCUAACCAGAAAGUCACGGCUAACUACGUGCCAGCCGCCGCCGUAA
rnacentral:rRNA from 1 species